ACGGGGUGCAGCAGGCGCGAAAACUCCACAAUGCGCGAAAGCGUGAUGGGGUUACCCCGAGUGCCGUUCGUAAGGAUGGCUUUUCCUCAAUGAAAGGAGUUGGGGGAAUAAAGGGGGGGAAAGACUGGUGUCAGCCGCCGCGGUAAUACCAGCCCCCUGAGUGAUAGGGACGAUUAUUUAGCCUAAAGCGUUCGUAGCCGGUUAAGUAAGUCUUUCGUUAAAUCUGACGGCUUAAUCGUCAGACCGCGGAAGGUACUGCUAGACUUGAGGGCGGGAGAGGUUGACGGUAUUCCUGGGGUAGGGGUGAAAUCCUAUAAUCCUAGGAGGACCACCAGUGGCGAAGGCGGUCAACCAGAACGCGCCUGACGGUGAUGGACGAAAGCUGGGGGAGCGAACCGGAUUAGACACCCGGGUAGUCCCAGCUGUAAACGUUGCAGGCUAGGUGUUGGGGCAACUACGAGUUGCUUCAGUGCCGCAGAGAAGUUGUUAAGCCUGCCGCUUGGGAAGUACGGCCGCAAGGCUGAAACUUAAAGGAAUUGGCGGUCGAGCAC
rnacentral:rRNA from 1 species